rnacentral:snoRNA from 1 species
CAGAGUGAUGAUAUUAUGACAACCGGAAAGGCAUUCCUCGACCUGAAUAUAUAAUGUCGAAUUUGUCGCAACUUAGUUUCAGCCUUGUCUGACC